rnacentral:lncRNA from 10 species
GGGAAAUGUAAAGCCAUAAAGCUAAAAGAAAUUUAGGGAGACAAUCUGGAUGAUCUAAGUCCAAGAAGCAGUAAUAAGGCAAAUACAGUAGGCUAAAAAAUGAUGGAUGUGACUACAUCAAAAUCAAGAAUUUCCAUUCGGUAAAGAACAAGGCAGCCACGCGCAGUGGCCCAUAACAUAGAUCUUAAAACAUAGUGCUCACUGAAAAAAGUAAAAACCAGAGUAAGAUCUACAGCAUUUCUACAAGGAGAAUUCUAUAGCCAAAUUCUACAACAGUGUGGUAUAAUGAGCAAUUUUUUAAUUAAAAAUACAUACACCAAAAGAAUCAGUAAGUAUUUUACAAAGAUGCACAUAGAAUCAAGGACAUAUCAAACACAUUAGAGAGUGUGCCUGUGAGGUGGGGAGGAAAAUAGACAUGGGAAUGAGGGCUGAACAGAAGGCCUUUGUACACCAAAGCUAUACUGUAACCCAAAUUAUGGGAGUAGGAAGUCCAAAUUCAGAAUAAUAUUUUUCAUUCAUGCAUACAUUAAUUUAUUCCAUAAAAACUUAUUGAACACCUCUUAAGUGCCAAGAACUCUGCUUAAAUAGAAACUUUUCUUAUUUCUGCUGAAGAUAUUUUUUCAAGUCAGAUAUGUUUUAAUUGGAAGUGGAAGGGAAAAAUAAUUUACAGUAGCAUAUAAUAUAUACUAAAAAAUGAGAAACCAUCCUUAAAAUAAAUGUUUUACAUAACUUUUUUCAUCAAAU